UUUUCAGUUUCGCUCUCUUCGCUCUCAUCUAUCUCUUUGAAGGAUUUUGUCUCGUGUUUUCACACAACAGAGUUUCGUUCACAAAUUUUAUUUCAGAACCCUAGAAAUAGUUCAAGUUCCUUACUUCGAUCAAAAGGUUUUCAACUCUCCAAGUGGAGUGGUGGGCGGUGAAGGCGGGGUGGUGGAAGGUCGUUGAAGUGGUUGGGGUGUUCGGCCUUAAAGACGCGUUGGACUCAUUACUACGGUGUUAGAGUUGUUCGCUCUGACGGGCAUUGCAAGGGCGAGGGUGUUGUCUUGUGAAAUAAUCUGAAAGGACUCGAAAAGUUGGUUAUUCAUGGAAGAGACAGCAUAACAAAUGAAGCGUCCAUUUGGAAUUCCUGAAAAGCCAGAAUUCACUGUUGGGUUGGAUGAACCAUUGAAGAAGUUGAAAACGAAUGUUUUGAGCGAAGGUUUGUCCGUAAUGGUUUUGACCGGUGUGGGAGGAUCGGGGAAAACCACUCUGGCCACUAUGCUCUACUAUUGAACCAUAAUAACCUCUUAUUUCUUCUUAAGUGAGUUGUGAUAGGUACAACUCUAAGUUGACUGCUUAUGCAAUGAAUAUCUUAUGGUCAAUGAGGUCUAUCUCCUUAUGAACUUGAGAGGAAUAUUCAUAUUAAUGUGCAUGUGCAUGUACAUGAUUGAAGAGGAUGAAUUACAAGGAGCGAGUUCCAUCUUUAAUAUGCUUCUAUAUUCUGUUUUGGA